rnacentral:rRNA from 1 species
UUGCUUUCUUUGCUGGCGACCGGCGCACGGGUGAGUAACACGUAUCCAACCUGCCCUUUACUCGGGGAUAGCCUUUCGAAAGAAAGAUUAAUACCCGAUAGCAUAAUGAUUCCGCAUGGUUUCAUUAUUAAAGGAUUCCGGUAAAGGAUGGGGAUGCGUUCCAUUAGGUUGUUGGUGAGGUAACGGCUCACCAAGCCUUCGAUGGAUAGGGGUUCUGAGAGGAAGGUCCCCCCACAUUGGAACUGAGACACGGUCCAAACUCCUACGGGAGGCAGCAUG